rnacentral:sRNA from 1 species
AAUAUAAUUUAUUAUUUACAGUUAGAUUUAAUGUCCAAGGAAGCAGAAAGAGUUAAAGAUUCAUUGGAAAUGACCAAAUAUAUUGCAGAUGCAGAAAAAGAAAUAAAUAACACCAAAAAUACAGCUCAUUCACAAGUGGAGGACAAAACUAAAGAUGCCUCUGCAGAAAUAGAUAAAUUUAAAAAGUACCCUCAAGGAUGGAAUGAAUGACCUGCUUAAACAAAAAGAAGAUAUUGUGAG